UUAAUUGAAACCAAAAAGAGGUCUACCACUGUUAAUGGUAUAAUUGAGCCAAAGCUCCAAUUAAA
rnacentral:tRNA from 1 species